rnacentral:rRNA from 1 species
UACGUCGGGUGCGAGCGUUAAUCGGAAUUACUGGGCGUAAAGCGUGCGCAGGCGGCUUGCUAAGACAGGUGUGAAAGCCCCGAGCUUAACUUGGGAAUGGCGCUUGUGACUGGCAGGCUGGAGUGUGGCAGAGGGAGGUGGAAUUCCACGUGUAGCAGUGAAAUGCGUAGAUAUCUGGAGGAAUACCGGUGGCGAAGGCGGCAUCCUGGACCGAGAUUGACGCUGAUGAGCGAAAGCUAGGGGAGCAAACGGG